ensembl:lncRNA
CGGGCUCCGGGAGGGGAGCUGGGGGGCGGAGUCCCGGGGCGCGCCCCCGCGGCCGCGCUCCUCCCCGCGGAGCGCGCGGACGCCCGGCACCAGAGCCGAGGGAGGAGGGCACCGGCGGAGACGGAGGCGGGCCGCAGAGGCCGGGGCUCCCCGCCCGCGCCCCGCCGCGGGGUGCGCGCGCAGCCUGCCAGAUCAGCGGCGGGCAGGGCUGUACCACUGCACCGAGGGGGGACUCUCGGAGCGCUGGCGCCUACGCGCCACCUGUCUGCCCGCUCCACACGGACACCCCUGCAGGAUCUUACUCUGUACCCAAGGUGGACUUGAACUUGUGACCCUCCUGUGUCAGCCUCUCAAGUGCUGAGAUUAAAGCCCUUAGGGAUGUGCAAAUCCAACUGCACUGAAAUUCCAUCUCAUCCCAGUAAGAAUGGUGAUCAUCAAGAAAACAAAUGAACACAAAUGCCGGUCCCUGAGAAGCUUGCUUGCUCGCUACCUACUUCCCAGGGACUAUCAACCCAGUCAUGGAGUUUCUUCCUGGAGAAAUGCAAGUGUUGCAUCAUUGCUAACUUCACACUUCCUCUGAACAACACAGCUUUCCUGGAGGCUGAGGGGUAGUGAGGGAAUGCUUCAGGAUCAUGAGGCUCUCUCAUCAGGGGCAAAGGUCUGGGGAUUGAACCCAGAAGGUCAAACUUUGCAACAAGAGC